CCUAGGAAGCAAUAGGGUGGCGGCCGUGGUGAGCGCGGCGGCCGUGAGGGGACACGUUAACGCGGGCGGCGGCGGCGCGUUGGAAGGGAUGGUGCUGGUGUACGACAUCGCCGGCGGCAAGUGGAGCCGCGCGCCUGACCUGCCACCUGCGUUCCGGCGGGCCGCGUGCGCCGGCGUCGAGUGCUGACAAUGCAGGUUGACGUGGCUCCACAGUUCAGCGAGAUUCCUGCCAUUAGGUUUUUAGGUGGGUGUAGAUUGAUGCUAUGUCAAGUAACAUGGCGCCAUCGUGGGAUUGUUUGUUGAACAACAACUAAUUGGAUAUUUGGAUGCCACCAUUUUUCUCUCCAGUUGUUAUUUAUCGUUGCCAGUUCAAUUCGAUUCAAGUACAAUUCUUAACCAUUUUAUGCAAAUUUUCAAUGGGAUAAUCACUCCUUGAUGGCGAUUGCGAUCGUUCUGAUCUGAACCUACCAUUUUUUUAGGUGAAAAACAGCACGCGGGAGACUGUGGGGACUGGAGGCUGUGGCCAUGGUCCCAUAAAACUGAUUCGAGUUAGACAUGUUGUCUACUUCUCUGUGGCUUCCAGUGAUGCCAACAACGUACCGUCUCGACUAUCGUCCAGCGAGUGAGUACUUGUGCUCACAUUCAUUUACAAUUAUAAGCUUGCAAUUUGCAUCGUGGUCCUCUCCUACUCGUGUAGUUGUGCGCUUCAUAAAUCACGAUGAACGCUGGACACGACUUUCCCACGUGAUUGCACGGUGAGCGCGUUUGAGCAAGAACGAGUAUCCAACUGUUUACUGCCGUAACCCUGUAAUUACUGCUCCCUCUAUCCCAAAAAGAAUCAAUUCUCCGGUUUCUGCGUUUUACCAUCCAUCUUAUUUAAAAAAAUUUUAGAAAAUUUAAAAAAAUU
rnacentral:lncRNA from 1 species